rnacentral:lncRNA from 1 species
GCUUGAAGGCAGUAUGCUUGGUAAAAGUCAUCGCCAUUCUCUAAUCUUGAGUACCCAGGGACACGAUACACUGCGGAAGGCUGCAGGGACCUCUGCCCAGGAAAGCCAGGCUUGCAUGAAGGAAAUGAUUUCCUAUGAUUCUGCUUACUGCUUAAAAAAAUUAAUCAAGUUUUCUGCCUGACAAGAUCCAGUAUCUGCCGGAGGAGCCCCACCUUCUGCUACUAUUAUGUUCUUCAGAUGAGUAGAAGAGAGUGGGGAGGGAGAGAGCAGGAAGAAGAAAGGAAGAAUAAUGUCUUGAAAUUGUUUUCUAAGGAUAAUGGUCUCCAGCUUCGUCAAUGUUCCUGCAAAGGACAUGAUGCUGACUUUGAAGAUGCAAGCUUCCACAUCUACAGCCUCAAGGAAACAAAUUCAGCCAACCAACUGAGGGAGCUUUCCUUGUCCUGCCUCAAGAUGAGAUCACAGUCUGCCCAACACCAUGAUUUAGGCCUUGUGACACCUGGUAUGGAAGACCCAAGCUCAGAUGGAAAAGAAUGGUGUUACUGAGACCCUUCAAGAUUCCCAGUGUAAUUCAAUAAAGAAAAGGCAACACAAAGGGGUUGUAUAGAAUUCGCCACAUUAUGGACCCAUGUCAUAGAGAGAAUCCACGGUGCAUUUGUUAGCUGCAUUUAAAUGACAACACUUUCAGAUCCAAGAUUUAUUUGGGAUAAAAAUUUACCUGGAUGCAAGGCUAUUCAGAAUGAAGAUUAAUGAUAUGGUUUGGCUGUGUCCCCACCCAAACUUCAUCUUGAAUUCCCACGUGUUGUGAGAGGGACCUGGUGGGAGAUAAUUGAACCAUGGGGGCAGGUCUUUCUCAUGCUGUUCUCAUGAGAGUGAAUAAGUCUCAUGAAACCUGAUGGUUUUAUAAGGGGGAAUUUCCCUGCACAAGCUCUCUCUCUGCCUUUUGCCAUCCAUGUAAGACGUGACUUGGUCCUCCUUGCCUUCUACCAUGAUUAUGAGGCCUCCCCAGCCACGUGGAACUGUGAGUCCAUUAAACCUCUUUCUUUUGUAAAU